GAGGUUUUAGUUCAGUGGGAGAGUGCAUGCCUAGCAUGCAUGGGGUCCUGGGUUCUAGCCCCAGUACCUCC
rnacentral:tRNA from 1 species